GGAAUCUUGGACAAUGGGGGCAACCCUGAUCCAGCCAUGCCGCGUGAGCGACGAUGGCCUUAGGGUUGUAAAGCUCUUUCAGCGGGGAAGAUAAUGACGGUACCCGCAGAAGAAGCCCCGGCUAACUCCGUGCCAGCAGCCGCGGUAAUACGGAGGGGGCUAGCGUUGUUCGGAAUUACUGGGCGUAAAGGGCGCGUAGGCGGGCUUUCGAGUCGGGGGUGAAAUCCCGGGGCUCAACCCCGGAACUGCCUCCGAUACUGUUGGCCUUGAGGACGGGAGAGGUGAGCGGAAUUCCGAGUGUAGAGGUGAAAUUCGUAGAUAUUCGGAGGAACACCGGUGGCGAAGGCGGCUCACUGGCCCGAUCCUGACGCUGAGGCGCGAAAGCGUGGGGAGCAAAC
rnacentral:rRNA from 1 species